rnacentral:tmRNA from 1 species
GGGGGCGCCUGGUUUCGACGGGUAUACUAGAGCUUUUAACUGCAUGUCGAGGAUUCUUGGUUACCUCGUAAAUCAACCAGGAAAAAUGAUAAGUGCCGAUUACGGUUACGUUGCUGCUGCUUAAUUGACAGCAGCUGUCUAUUAGCAAGCGUGUUCGCCGCCAACUAAAUAGACAUCAUUAAAGCGAACUAGUUCUAUAAAGAGUCUGAGUUUGUAGAACAAAAUUUUAUCAGACUCGUUUGUUGUGCGUAAGGUCAUUUAUGCUAUGCAAAUUAAAUUAAAUAAUGACCUAAGCAUGUAGAUGUUGACUGAACUUUAUAUUCGGACGUGGGUUCGAUUCCCACCGCCUCCACA